rnacentral:rRNA from 1 species
UACGAAGGGUGCAAGCGUUGUUCGGAAUCAUUGGGCGUAAAGCGCGCGCAGGCGGGCCAGCAAGUCAGAUGUGAAAUCUCGAAGCUCAACUUCGAAACUGCGUCUGAAACUGCUAGUCUAGAGUGUCAGAGGGGGUAGGGGAAUUUCACGUGUAGGGGUAAAAUCCGUAGAGAUGUGAAGGAACACCGGAGGCGAAGGCGCCUACCUGGAUGACUACUGACGCUGAGGCGCGAAAGCGUGGGGAGCAAACAGG